UGUGUGAAAUGAUGGAUGAGUAGAUAUGCAGAAAGUAUUCCAGGCAGGAGAAACUGCAAACCUGAAGUAUUUGAGCAACAGAAGAAAGAGGCCAGCAGGGGUAGAAAGGGGCCCGUGAAAGGACAAGUGAUGAGGAGAGGAGAGGGAGGCAAGGACCGGAGGAUGUAGGGCUCAGAGGCCUAGGUAAGGAGCAAGUGUGGUUACAUUUGGGACAUCACUGAAGGGACUGAAGCAGAGGAAUGACAUGUUGUGAUGCAUACGUUAAAAACAAAAACAUCACUGAAGUUACUGUGUGUCGAGGGAGUGAAGAGGGGAGGGGAGCAACUGAGAGAAUUCUUAGGAAGCUCCUGAAAUUCCAGGCAAGAGAUGAUGGUGGGUUGGCCUAGAAUAUGGUCACAGAGAUGCAGAGAAGUGAAUAGAUGACAGCUGUAUCUGGAGCAGAGGGAUGGGUACACUCCACAGAAGAGCUUUUGUUAGGAGCAGACAUGAAAAGUAACCCCCUUAAGGAGUGAACUGAAGCAGAGAGUCUUGGAUUCUAUUUUAGCGCUCUCAUCACCCAGCCCUGUGACCUUGAACAAGUCACUUUAUCAGCUCGAGCCUCCCUUUCCAGGGUUGAAAUAAACAGGUGAGGAAACCAAGGUCCAAAGACAUGAAGGGAUGGACCGACCAUCACACAACUACUGUGCCCAGAACCCAGACGGGAACCUGCCUGCUCUAAGUUUGCCACACCCCUGCUUCUCCUCUUCCACCCAAAUAAAAUUAGCAGCAAGGGCCCGAGGAGAGGGUGACGCCCACCUCCUUGUGUGAGGAGCCUUGGAUGGGAACAGAGUCGCCCUCAAAGAGGCCAAAGCAAGAAUUGGGAGGCCUGCACCUGUGCCUCCAGUUCUGGGCCAAGCUCCUGUGUGUUUUGAGUCAACUACCUAACUCCUCUGGUUAGGUAGUUGACUAACCUGACCAUUUUGUAGGUCCAGUAAAACCAGAUGGGUGAUUUGGCAGGAUAAAACUCCUCUGGGUCUUUUUCCUCACCCCAACCCCAGGUGCUCUUCAAGCAUGGCUUUCCCUCCCCUUACCAAUCAUUACAUGAAAAGGCCCUAAGGUGAUCGAAACUUGUAUCAGAUCUGAAGCAGCUCAAAGGGAUUAUUCAGCCCGACUCCUGAGGGAAUCUGUUUGAAGCUUAAAGCCCGGUUCCCAGGGCUUGGCUUUGGAGCUUUCUCUUCCAGUGAGUGAACAAAGCCCAUUUAGAAACCUAAACCUGCCCUCCAGCCCCUGGGGUCCAGGCCCAGCUCCUGGAUUUGUGCGGCCCGGAGAGGAAAGCUCCUGCCGCCAGCUUGAAUGGGCCUAUUAUGCAUGGCUAAUUCCACCGCAGAACACAGUGUCUCCGAGGGCCUAGCAGCAACUGGUCCUACCUGUUUAGAGUCAGUACAUUCUGUUUGCUGGAGGGAUGAAGGGAGCACAGCACACACCACCUCUCACCAUCAUAAAUGCCAUUUCGGGUUAAUGAUUACCAGGUACAGUGGUACUGUAGUCAGACUGCACACACUGAGCGCCCUUCCCAUGGAAGCCAGCGGGCAGUGCAUAAAGGGGGUCAUUGUGUGUGCUGGGUGGGGAGGGAGGGGUGCCUACGGGUGCCAAGUGUGGUCUCAUAGCUCACACACGCGGGACGGGGAGGUUGGGACACCGUGCACAUAUGGUCUCAUUUUAUAAGACAAUCUAUUUACACCCACUGUUGACACUGGGGUACUGUUACUGAAACUGGAAUUUGUGUCAUUCAAUAAAAUGCCCGAUCAGACUAACCCGACAUUACAUGACAUCAACUCGAUCCUACACACACACAAAAAAAAACCCCAAAAGUUCCCAUCUUUGGCCAGAACUGGCUCUUUUGUAGCCAGAGCCAUCAUCCUCCUGCUGGGGAGCCGUGUGGACCUGCCUGCAGACUGACAGUUGAGGGGUGUUUCUCACCACCUGAAUGACGGAAGUUGAUGACUGCCAGGCCCCAACCAGCCUCUUCUGUCUGCCAGAGAGAAAGCAAGAAUGUUCCCCUCCUGAGGUCUCAAUUUACAGGCUUUUCACACUGCACUCCUAUUUAAGGGUUCCUCCCAAGAGAGUCCUGACAUUGCCUUGAAUCAGCUCAGCCCUGACUCUACCUGUUUCUACUGCCACCUACAGAAAGAGAGGAUUCCUUUAGGGCUAGAAGGCUGUGACCUUGGCCAGUUUUGUAGGUCAGUAAAACCAGAUGGAUGAUUUGGCAGGACAAAGGAGAUCCUUUGGUCCUGGGCGGGUGGGAAAUCCCCCACUGCCUGAAAUUGCACCUUUAAUAUACAAUUAUUUUGUAUCAAGUAUUGUCCUCUCUUGAAAUUCUCACUUCAAGUCCAAGGAACUUUGAGAUAAUAUGAAUACAAAUGUUUAGCCUUGAAAUACAUUUGUCAGACUGGAAAAGACAGCAUGAAAAUCAUAAGUGUUGGAAGUUGAGGGGUGCAGUGAAAUUGGAGAAAGGGAGUCCAGGGA